rnacentral:rRNA from 1 species
AAUCAACGCUGGCGGCGUGCCUCAGACAUGCAAGUCGAACGAUUAAAGCUCUCUUCGGAGAGUGUAUAGAGUGGCGCACGGGUGAGUAACACGUAAGUAAUCUACCUUCGAGUGGGGAAUAACGUCCGGAAACGGACGCUAAUACCGCAUAAUGCAGCGGCAUCGCAAGAUGACAGUUGUUAAAGAAUUUAUUCGCUUGAAGAGGAGCUUGCGGCAGAUUAGCUAGUUGGUAAGGUAAUGGCUUACCAAGGCUACGAUCUGUAACCGGUCUAAGAGGACGGUCGGUCACACUGACACUGAAUAACGGGUCAGACUCCUACGGGAGGCAGCAGUCGGGAAUUUUGGGCAAUGGGCGAAAGCCUGACCCAGCAACGCCGCGUGAAGGAUGAAGUAUUUCGGUAUGUAAACUUCGAAAGAAUAGGAAGAAUAAAUGACGGUACUAUUUAUAAGGUCCGGCUAACUACGUGCCAGCAGCCGCAGUAAG